ACCUUCGGGCCUCUUGCCAUCGGAUGUGCCCAGAUGGGAUUAGCUAGUAGGUGGGGUAACGGCUCACCUAGGCGACGAUCCCUAGCUGGUCUGAGAGGAUGACCAGCCACACUGGAACUGAGACACGGUCCAGACUCCUACGGGAGGCAGCAGUGGGGAAUAUUGCACAAUGGGCGCAAGCCUGAUGCAGCCAUGCCGCGUGUAUGAAGAAGGCCUUCGGGUUGUAAAGUACUUUCAGCGGGG
rnacentral:rRNA from 1 species